rnacentral:rRNA from 1 species
GACGUUACCUACAGAAGAAGCACCGGCUAACUCCGUGCCAGCAGCCGCGGUAAUACGGAGGGUGCGAGCGUUAAUCGGAAUUACUGGGCGUAAAAGCGCAUGCAGGCGGCCUGUUAAGUCAGAUGUGAAAAGCCCGGGCUUAAACCUCGGAAAUUGCAUUUUGAAAACUGGCAGGCUAGAGUCUUGUAGGAGGGGGUAGAAUUUCAGGUGUAGCGGUGAAAAUGCGUAGAGAUCUGAAGGAAUACCAGUGGCGAAGGCCGGCCCCCUGGACAAAGACUGACGCUCAGAUGCGAAAGCGUGGGGAGCAAACAGGAUUAGAUACCCCUGGUAG